GGGGGAGGAAGAGAGCUCCCUAACCCUCACUCAAACUUCACCUCUCAAUAACUUUUGAUUUGGAGCUUUGAUUGACGAACUGUUUGCGACUACACGUUCACCGCGACGAGCUCUAGGAAAUCCAUGGAACAAUUUGGUUCAAGUUAGCUUCUGGGACUUAUGGGUUCAAGCUAUUGAGCAUAUGGGUAUGGUGUAGAUUAAGUGGGUAUAUAUGCAUUGGAAUUUAAUUGGGAAUAUUUGGAGGCUUGUUGGUGAUCAAAGCUUAGUUUGUGGUUGUUUUACUUGAGCUUGGAGGGGCUGUAAUUUUGUGUUGAGAGGCUGCCUUGGGUGAAUUAAGUGAUCGG